rnacentral:rRNA from 1 species
ACCAACAGGGAUUGCCCCAGUAACGGCGAGUGAAGCGGCAACAGCUCAAAUUUGAAAUCUGGUACCUUCGGUGCCCGAGUUGUAAUUUGUAGAGGGUGUCUCGGGGGGAGUGCCGGUCCAAGUCCCUUGGAACAGGAUGUCAUAGAGGGUGAGAACCCCGUAUCCGGCUGGUCACGGGGGUCCAUGUGAGACCCCUUCGACGAGUCGAGUUGUUUGGGAAUGCAGCUCUAAAUGGGUGGUAAAUUCCAUCUAAAGCUAAAUACCGGCCAGAGACCGAUAGCGCACAAGUAGAGUGAUCGAAAGAUGAAAAGCACUUUGAAAAGAGAGUCAAACAGUACGUGAAAUUGUUGAAAGGGAAGCGUAUGCGGCCAGACUUGCCCGCGGUUGCUCAGCCUGUCUUCUGGCAGGUGUACUCUUCCGCGGUCAGGCCAGCAUCGGUUUGGGCGGUCGGACAAAGGCGCUGGGAAUGUGGCCCCUCGGGGUGUUAUAGCCCAGCGUGCAAUGCGACCCGCCCGGACCGAGGCCCGCGUUCUGCUAGGAUGCUGGCGUAAUGGCCGUAUACGGCCCGUCUUGAAACACGGACCAAGGAGUCUAACAUCUAUGCGAGUGUUUGGGUGUCAAGCCCGGGCGCGCAAUGAAAGUGAACGGAGGUGGGAGCUUCGGCGCACCAUCGACCGAUCCUGAUGUCUUCGGAAGGAUUUGAGUAAGAGCAUAGCUGAUAGGACCCGAAAGAUGGUGAACUAUGCGUGAAUAGGGUGAAGCCAGAGGAAACUCUGGUGGAGGCUCGCAGCGGUUCUGACGUGCAAAUCGAUCGUCAAAUU